UGUGUGGCGGUGAUAGCGC
rnacentral:misc_RNA from 1 species